UGAGCCUUUAGCAGUGCCCCUCACCACUGGGCUAGCCUGGGCUGCCUUUUGCUCCCUUGUCACUGCAGUCACCCUCCUGAGAAAGCUGAAAAGAAGUUUCAAAACCACAGUCUCCCUGGCAGGCUUGUGGCUGCUUGCUGCUUUCAACCACCCCUUCCUGUUGGGGUGUCAUGUGGGUGGCCUGGCCCUUUAAGGCUUGGCUUACACUGUUAGAGAAAGGCUGCCGGCUGCAGAAAGCCAAGUCCAGGCAGAGAAAAGCUGUGAACAGGAGCCGGCAGUCCACAGAAGGCCUGUUACAUGCUCUCCUCUCCCAUGAUCCCCUGCAAAUAACUCAUGUCGCGGGUGAGCAGAGGGAUUGGCUGUAUUGUAUCUGUCUCUACUGUUCUGUCUAUCUGUGUCUCUCCUUGGGAGUCCCACCCAUCUUUCAAGUUCAGAACUAGCAUUGCACCUAUCACCUGUACCACACAUGAAUGACUUGGUCUUCUCAAAGACUGGCAUCCUCUUUCGGGAAAUGUGCAAAAGGGAGAAGUUGUCUAGGACGUAAACAAGAGAGACCUAAAGGAAAUUCAGGCUGAGCUUUGAGUUCUUGCCGGGUGCUGGCAUCAGUCACCUCCACGGCCAGGAGAGGAGGCAGGACCAUGUGGCUGUUCCCUGCUCUGCUCCUCUUCCUCCCAGGCUGCUCCACUGCUCAGGAUCCAAUCACAGGGCCAAACA